GAAACCAUCCGUUUUUCGAAUGCAGCUAUACUCAUCUCGUGUAUGGGACCACCUUGCUUGAAAGAUAUUGCUGAACUAUUACACAACUAAUUAUGAUGCUCUUCUUACGCUGAUUUCCGGACAAUCUUUCAAAUACUCAACCCGCUUCAUUCUUAGGUAUGCUCUCCAAGCCGCAAUCCACUCCAUUUGGAGUAAACCGAACAGUAGGCAUCAUGGCAACAAUCCGCCACCUCCGGAGACGCUUGUCAAGUUCAUCGAUCGCCUAUUCCGUAACAGGUUUUGCUUCUUGCAACAAGGAAAAUCCAAAUUUGAGGACGUACUUUAAAGUUGGGUUGCCUCUCAAAGACAAUUUUAGCUCAAUAAUAAGACUUGUUUCUAUUCUUUAUAUCCAGCAAACUAUAAACUUGUGCAAACAAUAAAAAUUAAUAUUAGAUUAAAGUAAUUAUAUCUCUCAGUUUUCCAAAUCUGAUGUGAAAGAAUAAUCAAAGCAAUAGCAUCAAUAAUAAUAAAACAAAACAAAUAUGGAAACUUCAUCCCCUUAAUCUAGGCGUAUCUACAUCACUCCACCAUUGUAGCAAUCAAAUAUUCAUAUAUGAUCAAAACUGAGAAAGAACAAUAACUGCCACCACGUAUAUAUUUGGAAUAUACCUCCGUUCAUGAUCUCAAAUUGCCAUUUCCAAGAUCUUUAAAAAUAUUCUUAAAUUCAUCCCCAUGCUCAUCACAACUCUAGGUUUAA
rnacentral:lncRNA from 1 species